rnacentral:rRNA from 1 species
UACAGAGGUCUCAAGCGUUGUUCGGAUUCAUUGGGCGUAAAGGGCGCGUAGGCGGUCAGCACAAGUCAGUUGUGAAAUCUCCGGGCUUAACUCGGAAAGGUCAACUGAUACUGUGCGACUAGAGUGCAGAAGGGGCAACUGGAAUUCUCGGUGUAGCGGUGAAAUGCGUAGAUAUCGAGAGGAACACCUGCGGCGAAGGCGGGUUGCUGGGCUGACACUGACGCUGAGGAGCGAAAGCGUGGGGAGCGAACAGG